GAUUUUUUGUUUGUUUGUUUCUACAGGACGCUUACCUCUUCGUCAAAAAGGGAGUCACGACUUCCCUCCAGUUUGGAAAAGAUGUGUUCUUUUACCUGAAGAAUCCUCCCCCAGAAUUUCUCCCUAAAGUUGGUGUGAUCACAGUUUCAGGACUGACCGGAAUAAUCCUAGCCAGGAAAGGAUCUCGGUUCAAGAAAAUCGCCUAUCCCGUGUGCCUUGGUUCACUAGGUGUAUCUCUUUGCUACCCAGCCCAGUCGGUGAUUGUUGCUAAGGUAAAUUUCUCUUAAAGU